rnacentral:rRNA from 1 species
GACGAACGCUGGCGGCGUGCUUAACACAUGCAAGUCGAACGGAAAGGCCCUGCUUUUGUGGGGUGCUCGAGUGGCGAACGGGUGCGUAACACGUGAGUAACCUGCCCUUGACUUUGGGAUAACUUCAGGAAACUGGGGCUAAUAUCGGAUAGAAUAUCCUGCUGCAUGGUGGGGGCUGGAAAGUUUCGGCGGUCGGGGAUGGACUCGCGGCUUAUCAGCUUGUUGGGGGGGUAGUGGCUUACCAAGGCUUUGACGGGUAGCCGGCCUGAGAGGGUGACCGGCCACAUUGGGACUGAGAUACGGCCCAGACUCCUACGGGAGGCAGCAGUGGGGAAUAGUGCACAAUGGACGGAAGCCUGAUGCAGCAACGCCGCGUGCGGGAUGACGGCCUGCGGGUGAUAAACCGCUUUCGCCUGUGACGAAGCGUGGGUGACGGUAAUGGGUAAAGAAGCACCGGCUAACUACGUG